GGGAGACAGGUGGUGCAUGGUUGUCGUCAGCUCGUGUCGUGAGAUGUUGGGUUAAGUCCCGCAACGAGCGCAACCCUUAUUGCUAGUUACCAUCAUUCGAGUUGGGGACUCUAGCGAGACUGCCAGUGAUAAACUGGAGGAAGGUGGGGAUGACGUCAAAUCAUCAUGCCCCUUAUGACCUGGGCUACAAACGUGAUACAAUGGCUGAAACAAAGGGCAGCGAAGCAGUGAUGUGGAGCGAAACCCAAAAAAGCAGUCUCAGUUCGGAUUGAAGUCUGCAACUCGACUUCAUGAAGUCGGAAUCGCUAGUAAUCGCGGAUCAGAACGCCGCGGUGAAUACGUUCUCGGGGUUU
rnacentral:rRNA from 1 species